UUUGAGGGGAAUGUUGUCUGGCUCGGGGCUACUUUAAAUUUCUCUCUCUAUCUCCAUCUCUCUCCUCUCUCUCUCUCUCUCCUAGCUUGAUCUUUUUGAUCUCUUGAAAUCAAUCCCAAGAAAAUAUCAGAUGGAGAGAUGAGAGUAGAUGUUUGUAGAUCUCGGACCAGGCUUCAUUCCCCCCAAA
rnacentral:pre_miRNA from 1 species